ACAUCAAUAUGUAUCAGGAAUUGCAAUCACUUCAGUUUUAUUAUUAUCAUUACAUUCUAAAAUCUUUUUCUAGUUAUAAUCUCAAAGUAAGCAACAGACAGCAGCAGAAGAGAAAAAGAUUAAAUUCCUCCGUAUCACACGAUUCAUAUCCUAGAUCUGAUAGCAGCAGAAUUGAUGUAACUAAUGUCAGAAUGCAGACCUGCUCAGCUUAUGCUACUUCAAUUUAACAAGAAUAUCAUUGGGUAUCAUCCAAUGAUACCCAAGCACUAUGUACCUCCCUGGCAGUUAGAUAUGAAGAAUUGAUAUCGUAUCUUAGAGAAUUGUCAGAAGAGCAGUGAGGAGGUAAAGAGCUGGGGAGGACAUGUUAGUCACUUCUGGGAGAAAAUAGAGAGACUGAAUGUCACACUACAUGAUGGUCCACAUUUACAUUUAACUGAUGAUGUCAGAAGUGCCAAGUGUCACUCAAUCUCUUCUCCAUUGUCAAAAUACAAUGCUGGACUAAUUUAUUAUUCGUAGUAGAUUGAUAACUAUAGAUGAAAUUUAAUGAUAAUUUUUGAUAAAACAAGUAAUUCAUGAAUGAGAUCUUUUCUUGGUAUCCCUUCAGGACUGUUCCUCUCCUCUGUGCUUUACUUUGUUCCCUACUCUGUUCUAUAAAACUUUUAA